rnacentral:misc_RNA from 1 species
UGUGGGAGCGGGCUUGCUCGCGAAUGCGGUAGAUCAGUCAGCACCUAUAUUGACUGACCCACCGCAUUCGCGAGCAAGCCCGCUCCCACA